rnacentral:lncRNA from 1 species
AAAAUUAAUGGUUAAAAUAGUAAUUUAAAUAAUAUAAAAAAACAAAAUAAAACACAAUAACAGUAAAUAAAUUAACUAAAAAACAGUGAGAAAAAAAUAGAAAGAACAACAUCCGAACCUAUCUGAAUUAUCAAACAACCCGAUACUAACAUAACUAAAAGAAAACCAAAAUAAAAAGAGUCAAAUUUCAAAUAAAAAAAAAACAUCAUCUUUAAAAAAAUAGAAAAAAAAACAAAUCAAUCCCAG